AAAAAAAAAACUCUGUUGAACAUUUAAAUUGGUGGUUCUUGGUAUCCAAUGAAAAAUAAUGAAUCCACAAUGUAUGUAUACUGUGGAUUCAUUAUUACCGUACUCAUUGGAUCUGAAUUUCCAUGGAUUCGUGGUUACCUGGGAACUAUGAAUUUCAGUGUACAACAAAUUAUAAGUUUUUGUAGAAAAUUAUGCAGACUUUUAGCAAAACCAGAACAUCAAAUAAAAAUUAUCCAUGUUAAUCAAUCCAUGAAAAUUGGUACCCAUGAAAAUAAAAGAAUCCAUGCAGUAUAUGAUAA
rnacentral:lncRNA from 1 species